CCUACGGGGGGCUGCAGUGGGGAAUAUUGCACAAUGGGGGAAACCCUGAUGCAGCAACGCCGCGUGGAGGAAGAAGGUUUUCGGAUUGUAAACUCCUGUCUUUUGGGACGAUAAUGACGGUACCAAAAGAGGAAGCCACGGCUAACUACGUGCCAGCAGCCGCGGUAAUACGUAGGUGGCGAGCGUUGUCCGGAAUUACUGGGCGUAAAGGGCGCGUAGGCGGCUAAUCAAGUCAGAUGUGAAAACCCUAGGCUUAACCUGGGGAUUGCAUUUGAAACUGACUAGCUCGAGUGUCGGAGAGGAAAGCGGAAUUCCUAGUGUAGCGGUGAAAUGCGUAGAUAUUAGGAGGAACACCAGUGGCGAAGGCGGCUUUCUGGACGAUAACUGACGCUGAGGCGCGAAAGCGUGGGGAGCAAACAGGAUUAGAUACCCCGGUAGUC
rnacentral:rRNA from 1 species